AGUAGGUCAGUUUAGGUUAGUUAGCAGAACAAAGUAGACGCGUUUAGAUUCGUGUGUUGCGCGAAGUUAAAAAAAAAUAGAAAAUGGCAAACAGAGGAAGUUAAGCGCAGCAAAUUUUUCUAAAAAAAAAAAUUUUGUCUCUGGAAGAUGCCAAACCGCUCAAUGGAUUUCAGAACCCAAAAACUCAAGAAGAAGUUCAGUGUUCCCGUUAUGAUCGCCACGAUCACUUCAUUUCUGUUAUACCAGCUAAAAAACGGCGCAGAUGUUAAGGAAAUGGCUGCACCUCCAGCGUAACAACUUAUUGCGAAAAAUGUAAUGUUGGUUUAUGCUUUAAAUGUUUCAAAAGCUAUUAUUUUUAGCCCUAAUCUCACUUAUACCUCCUGCUCAAAUAUAAACGAGACUGGCUCAAUAAAACAAAAACGGUUAA